GAUGAACGCUGGCGGCGUGCCUAAUACAUGCAAGUAGAACGCUGAAGGAGGAGCUUGCUCUUCUGGAUGAGUUGCGAACGGGUGAGUAACGCGUAGGUAACCUGCCUGGUAGCGGGGGAUAACUAUUGGAAACGAUAGCUAAUACCGCAUGACAACAGUUAUUGCAUGAUAACUGUUUAAAAGGGGCAACUGCUCCACUACCAGAUGGACCUGCGUUGUAUUAGCUAGUUGGUGAGGUAACGGCUCACCAAGGCGACGAUACAUAGCCGACCUGAGAGGGGGAUCGGCCACACUGGGACUGAGACAGGGCCCAGACUCCUACGGGAGGCAGCAGUAGGGAAUCUUCGGCAAUGGACGGAAGUCUGACCGAGCAACGCCGCGUGAGUGAAGAAGGUUUUCGGAUCGUAAAGCUCUGUUGUAAGAGAAGAACGAGUGUGAGAGUGGAAAGUCCACACUGUGACGGUAUCUUACCAGAAAGGGACGGCUAACUACGUG
rnacentral:rRNA from 1 species